UACCAGCACCCCGAGUGGUCGGCGCGAUUAUUGGGCCUAAAGCAUCCGUAGCCGGUUCUUCAAGUCUUCCGUUAAAUCCAGCCGCUCAACGGAUGGGCUGCGGAAGAUACUAAAGGACUAGGAGGCGGGAGAGGCAAGCGGUACUCAGUGGGUAGGGGUAAAAUCCUUUGAUCCAUUGAAGACCACCAGUGGCGAAGGCGGCUUGCCAGAACGCGCUCGACGGUGAGGGAUGAAAGCUGGGGGAGCAAACCGG
rnacentral:rRNA from 1 species